CCCUUAGACGUUCUGGGCCGCACGCGCGCUACACUGACGGAGUCAACGAGUUGUCCUGCAUCGGAAGGUGUGGGUAAUCUUUUGAAACUUCGUCGUGCUGGGGAUAGAUCUUUGCAAUUUUCGAUCUUGAACGAGGAAUUCCUAGUAAGCGUGAUUCAUCAGAUCGCGUUGAUUACGUCCCUGCCCUUUGUACACACCGCCCGUCGCUACUACCGAUUGAAUGGUUUAGUGAGGCCUCGGGACUGGCGCGCUCGAGUAGCAAUACACCUGCGCGCCGGGAACUUGGUCAAACUUGAUCAUUUAGAGGAAGUAAAAGUCGUAACA
rnacentral:rRNA from 1 species